GGUUGCGAUCAUACCAGCACUAAUGCACCGGAUCCCAUUAGAACUCCGCAGUUAAGCGUGCUUGGGCGAGAGUAGUACUAGGAUGGUGACCCCCUGGGAAGUCCUCGUGUUGCAACCCC
rnacentral:rRNA from 1 species